ACAAGAAGAGGCCUGCCGGAGUGAGGGAAGGCCAAAGCCUAGACCCGGUGAAGGAAUCGGGCUGGGAACGGGGGCUGGAAGACCGUCCAAGGGAAGGACUUUGUACCUUCCGGGAGAGGCUGGAGGAUGCCUCGGAGCGCUGAACCUGGAAAUGCGGAAAUGGAUGGAGACGCAGGAGAAGAGCCGGCAGUGUGGUGGAGGGUGACUAAAGGCGGGAGGAGGCGGGGCCAGGAGGCCGCUCUGGACUCCUCCGCCAUCUUGGAGGGACCCCCACAAGGUGCCACAAUAAUUCCAAAGAUGACGGGAAUUCUUUUCUCUGGCUCUAUCAGGGAGGACCGGAGGAUGCUGUUUAAAGGUGCUGAUUGGGACUUAUCUCCUAGGGAUUUAAGGAAGGCAGCCGUCCCAUGAUGCUCACACAACAAAACGGAGGGCAGAACACCACAUCGCGGGCCCCUGUGGCAGUGGGGGAAGCAGACAAGUGAGAAGUGCCAAGUUUGCUUUCCAUUUGUUUCAACGGGGGUGAACACAAGGUCUUUGCGGGUCUCUUUCACAGGCCGAGCGAUUUUUCCCCCUUUUUAUGUAUUAAAUGAAGAUGAUUUAUUUUACUAAAAAAUUCCCCUCAUGUGUAUCCUCACUUACUGCUAUACAUUCUAGAUAAACAGAUAUUAAUUUCAUAAUUAAAAGUAAUCUUGUGUAAAUACCCUGCAGGCCUCAAAGAAUCAAACACAUACUGUGUGUCAGGCCUCCCACUGUCUUCAAGUGGAAUGUACUGGCUGGAUAAUUAGAUAGUACAUAUUUUUUAACCUUAUUUGCAUGCAUAUUAUAUCUUUUGCACACUGACAAGCAGCAGUAACAACAAAAGUCAGAUUACCACAGGGAAUUCCCACAAAGAAGUCUUCAUUCCUUAUAAUUUGCAGCCUAAAUUAAAAUAAUUUGAUCUUUGACAAGGAUGAAAUGUCAAGCAGAAGGGGGUCCUCGACAAGCUCCGGCCUGUGGCUUCUGAAAUCUGCCUAAUUUAUGUCAGUCACUUCUUAAUACAUAUUUAAGUGUUACACAAAAAAGAUGAUAAAUAUGCAAGCUGCCACCUUUGGUAUUUCCCUGCUGUUAAUUGAUAAAGGUCUGGCGUCCCCCAAUCCAGCUCCAAUGAUUUCA